rnacentral:misc_RNA from 1 species
AAAAUGCGAUAAGUAAUGUGAAUUGCAGAAUUCAGUGAAUCAUCGAAUCUUUGAACGCACAUUGCGCCCGCCAGUAUUCUGGCGGGCAUGCCUGUUCGAGCGUCAUUUCAACCCUCAAGCCCCCGGGUUUGGUGUUGGGGAUCGGGCUGCGGUUCUACCGCGUCCCGGCCCCGAAAUCUAGUGGCGGUCUCGCUGCAGCCUCCAUUGCGUAGUAGCUAACACCUCGCAACUGGAACGCGGCGUGGCCAAGCCGUUAAACCCCCAACUUCUGAAUGUUGACCUCGGAUCAGGUAGGAAUACCCGCUGAACUUAAGC